rnacentral:misc_RNA from 1 species
GAUGAAGAACGUAGCGAAAUGCGAUAAGUAAUGCGAAUUGCAGAAUCCGUGAGUCAUCGAAUCUUUGAACGCACAUUGCGCCCUCUGGUAUUCCGGAGGGCAUGCCUGUUCGAGCGUCAUUAUCACCCCUCAAGCCCGGCUUGUUGUUGGAUGCAGCGCUUAUCCCGCUCCUCCCAAAGAUAAUGAUGGCGUCUGCGACGACUCCUGUACACUGAGCUUUCGGGCACGUACACGGCUAGAAGUCCAGACCCGGUCGCCGUCCCCCCGCGGGGACACCCAUUACCACAAGGUUGACCUCGGAUCAGGUAGGAAUACCCGCUGAACUUAAGCAUAUCAAUAAGCGGAGGA